GGGGGUAGAGCUCAGUGGUAGAGCUUUCGACUGCAGAUCGAGAGGUCUCCGGUUCAACCCCGGGUGUCUUAUUCU
rnacentral:tRNA from 1 species